rnacentral:tRNA from 1 species
GGAGGAGUGCCCGAGCGGCUUAAGGGGCACGAUUGGAAAUCGUGUGUGCAUUAACGUGUACCGAGGGUUCGAAUCCCUCCUCCUCCGCCA